AGUGAACGCUGGCGGUAGGCCUAACACAUGCAAGUCGAACGGCAGCACAGUAAGAGCUUGCUCUUACGGGUGGCGAGUGGCGGACGGGUGAGGAAUACAUCGGAAUCUACUUUUUCGUGGGGGAUAACGUAGGGAAACUUACGCUAAUACCGCAUACGACCUACGGGUGAAAGCAGGGGAUCUUCGGACCUUGCGCGAUUGAAUGAGUCGAUGUCGGAUUAGCUAGUUGGCGGGGUAAAGGCCCACCAAGGCGACGAUCCGUAGCUGGUCUGAGAGGAUGAUCAGCCACACUGGAACUGAGACACGGUCCAGACUCCUACGGGAGGCAGCAGUGGGGAAUAUUGGACAAUGGGCGCAAGCCUGAUCCAGCCAUACCGCGUGGGUGAAGAAGGCCUUCGGGCUGUAAAGCCCUUUUGUUGGGAAAGAAAAGCAGCAGGUUAAUACCCCGCUGUUCUGACGGUACCCAAAGAAUAAGCACCGGCUAACUUCGUG
rnacentral:rRNA from 1 species